rnacentral:lncRNA from 1 species
AGUCCGUCGCAGGACGCCCAAACCACAGGCCGGACACAGAUGAAGCCAGACCACAGCCCCCGCCCCAGCCACCGCGACUUGAAGGCACUCUGCGGCCACCAAGAGACCACUCCGCAUCCUAGGUCGAGCCUGUGGGAGAAGCACUCGGGGCCCGGGAGGCCGAGGUGGGAAUGCCUGCUCUUGGGAUAAGUGCCGCUACAUUUGUUGGGCGGCUUUGUCAGUUUAGAAAGCUUGUCCCUGCACUCUGACAGUUUCUGCUUGCAGGGCCGGGUGCCGAGGCGAGAUAGCCAGCUUCCCUGUUUCUUAGAAUAUUUCCGUAAACCAGACUGCAUCCGAGCAGCCGGGUGGUGGUACGGCUGGUAGCAGAAGGUGCAGAUGGUGCCAGGUUUGGAAACACACCCCACUGCAUAUUAUUCCACUUCACGAGUACUAAGGAGGAGUCCAGAAUUGGUGGCCGUCCUCCCUCUUGUUUUCUCAUGCAAAUAACUCAACACUCUAAUCGUAAAUCAAAGCUCCAGGGCCUACUUUUGCGAGGGGCACUGGAGAAAGAAGAGAGGGUUGCGCGCGCGCGUGCGGGAGCUUCGGAAGCUAAAUCUCACUCGCGGGGAGGAUGGGACGCGUGGGGACUGAAGGCGGCAUCUGCCUGAAUAAAGCCCUCGCGCGCUCUGAGCCUCCCACUCUGUCCUGGAGGCCUGAACCUCGCGAGUAGAGCCUGGCGCUUUUCCUCCCCGGGAGCACGACGGAUAGAAUGCGCGGGGUCGAGACGGUGUCGGUAGCGGGGGCCGCAGCGCUUUGCAAAGCCGGCCUCUGCCCCCGGCCUCCUUGGAGGGCGGUAGCGGGACCUGCGCUCGCAGCCUCUCCCCAGGGCUGUGCGCUUCGGCCUGGCGGCUGCCGGGCAAAAACCUCAUUUAUUUCCUUCCUUCCCGAGUGAGCUCACUUCCUCCCCGCGCCGCUCCCUUCCGUCGGCCGGAACCCGCUCCUGGGCCGCGCGGCUGCAGCCGGGAGCGCGGACUCGGGGUGUCGGGCGGUGUCCGCGCCCCUCCCCACCCCAGGGCCCUUCUCGGGGGAGAUAUCCAGGAGCUGAAAGAGAUUCCUCAGGAGGAAGUGGAAACCUCUGAAAGGAGAGGAAACCGACUCUUUUGCAAGAAAACUGAGCGCCGGCUGGAAGGCCUAAGGAAAGCAGCCGAUGGCUCCCAAGACAACUCUGUCCGGCCAGUACUCCAGGGCAACUUCAACCCCACUAGGACCCAGGCCAAAACCAUAUAUAUAUAUAUAUAUAUAUAAAUUAACGCAAAACAGAGCCACUUUGGUGCCUACCCCUCCACAAGUAGGUAGGCACAUCCAGGUAGCUCUGUCAGAAGAUGGGACCUGGCGCCUUGCAGGGGUAGCCCUAUGGAGAUCCAGAAGCCCCGUUUCGAGCUACGAAGUCUCUCUUCUACUGCAGUCUUCUCUCCAACGUGGAGAUCUAGCAACUUCCCUCCCCCUGGGAUUCCCUGUGAAUCCACUCUAGUUGGGAUAUAGCCUCUCUACAGCUCAGUGACGUAGCGCGCCAAAACCAAGUACCCACCCCGGCAACUGGAAGACCUAGCUGUCCUCCAUCCCGCCUCCGCAGUCGAUAAUCUCCAGGAUCCAAGCAAAGUGCCUGUCCACGUUGUCACCAGAUCCACAAGCGCUUUUGAUGAGAGCUGCUACCCUUUUGGAAACACGAUUCCCUCUCCCUAGUAGAGAAGAAUCUAUUCUUCUGGGCUGGCGUAGACAAAGAAUAACCAAGAUAAAGUAUGUGGUGUGAAAAUAUCAGCUGCCUCUUCUUUUUUUGUUUUUGAAACGGAGUCUCGCUCUGUCUCCUAGGGUGGAGUGCAGUGGCACUAUCUCUGCUCACUGCAACUUCCGCCUCCUGGAUUCAAGCGAUUCUCCUACCUCAGCCUCUGGAGUAGCUGGGACUAUAGGCGCCCGCCACCACGCCCGGCUAAUUUUUUGUAUAUUUAGUAGAGACGGGGUGGGGGGGUGUUUCACCAUGUUGGCCAGGCUGGUCACGAACUCCUGACCUCAAAUGAUCGGCCCACCUCGACCUCCCAAAGUGCUGGGAUUACAGGCGUGAGCCACCGCGCGCCGGGUGGAAAACAUUAGCUUCUAAUAGCAGUCUUGGAGUGGAGUGAAGACGUUCAGGAAGUGGUGGAGAUAGGCCUGCUCAAUUAACCGGCCCCAGAUAUCAUUUCUCUGGCUACCUCUUUUCUCGCCUGGCCUGGCCCUCUAUACCGUUUUUUGUUUGUUUGUUUUGUUUUGUUUUUUUUCUGCAAAACGUUUUCUGCUGCAACUUUCUCUUUAUUUAUGCCUUUAUCUUUCUUAAACAAGAGGUCCCUGGAAAUAACUAACUAAGGAGGGGAGAGGAACCCCCUCACCCCCAAUUUCAUGAAUGAGUGCUACAUUCAUGCUGGCCGGGUACCAAGAGCAUCUUUAGAUCUUUAGACCUGAGUCUUCUCAUCUGUGAAAAAGAGGUUAAAGCAGAUGAACCCUAAAGGCCCAUUUCCAGUCUUAAAUUCAACACUUUCAAGACAAAACUUUUCUUCUGUAUUCCUGAGUGUGUAUAUAUAUGUUAUGUAAUAUAUAUUAUAAUGUAUAUAUAUAAA